GCCUCGGCCUCCCAAAGUGUUGGGAUUACAGGCGUGAGCCACCUCACCCGGCCUAUUGAUCCAUAUUCUGUAAUCAAAAUAUCAUAAGCCUCCAUAAUGUAGUGGGGCAUACAAAAGGCUUUCAUCCAUUCAGGUGAAAGGUGAAGUUUGGGUGUGGUGGUGCAUGCCUGUAAUCCCAGCUACUUGGGAGGCUGAGGCAGGAGAAUUGUUUGAACCUGGGAGGUGGAGGUUGCAGUGAGCCCAGAUCACACCACUGCACUCCAGCCUGGACGACAGAGCGAAAUUCUGUGUAAAAAAAAAAAAAAAAAAAAGUGAGGUUUCAGAUGUGUAUGUUAAUCUACUCAAUCUAAUUAGUUUAUUGAAUUGCUACAAUGUAUUCAGUAUUGUGCUUUAUAAUAUGGAGGAUGAUGUCUCUGUGCUUUUGCUCAUUCUUAUCCUUGACUUCAAAUUGUUUCCUAUUAUUCUAGCCUCAUCUGUUAAAAUCCUACCCUCCUUUCCCUCAAGAGCCAUCUAAAGAUGACACCUUUAUCACAAAGCCUUUCAUGAUCUCACAGCCACGAAUUUAGAACUUCCUCCUAUAGCAUUUUCUAUCUUUUUUAUGGCAUUUAUUUUAUUCUAUCUUGUUAUGAUUACAUAAUCUGUUUAAUCCCCAAUUAUAUAUUGUAAAUACCUUGAAGGAAAGGAGUCUUUAUUAUCUUUGGUGCCUGGUGUUUAGUUUUAAUAUUUUAUUAAAUACAUCCAAGGAAAGUUUUUGGUUUCUGCCUUUACUUCAAGAAGAAAGUUGUAGAACAGAUAAUAGUUGUUCCAUUUCCAUGGGUUACUGAGUAAAGACUCACCAGUUCGCCAUAACAGAC
rnacentral:lncRNA from 1 species